CCUACGGGAGGCAGCAGUCGAGAAUCAUUCACAAUGGGGGAAACCCUGAUGGUGCGACGCCGCGUGGGGGAAUGAAGGUCUUCGGAUUGUAAACCCCUGUCAUGUGGGAGCAAAUUAAAAAGAUAGUACCACAAGAGGAAGAGAAGGCUAACGCUGUGCCAGCAGCCGCGGUAAUACAGAGGUCUCAAGCGUUGUUCGGAAUCACUGGGCGUAAGGCGUGCGUAGGCUGUUUCGUAAGUCGUGUGUGAAAGGCGCGGGCUCAACCCGCGGACGGCACAUGAUACUGCGAGACUAGAGUAAUGGAGGGGGAACCGGAAUGCUCGGUGUAGCAGUGAAAUGCGUAGAUAUCGAGAGGAACACUCGUGGCGAAGGCGGGUUCCUGGACAUUAACUGACGCUGAGGCACGAAGGCCAGGGGAGCGAAAGGGAUUAGAUACCCGAGUAGUC
rnacentral:rRNA from 1 species